UGAACCAAUUGUUACUUUAUCAGUGAACAGAUCACAGUCUCAGAGCGACGAAAAUUAAAUUUUGACAAAUUAAAUUUAAAUGUUGAAGUGAAUCUAACGGUUUUGUGUGUUUUUUAAAUGGUUUAUAAACACCUUCCACGCUGCAAUUGUUUUCGUUCCAGCACAUGAUCUCAGAUCAAGUCAC